rnacentral:rRNA from 1 species
CAGUCGCCGCGGUAAUACGAAGGUCCCGAGCGUUGUUCGGAAUCACUGGGCGUAAAGGGAGCGUAGGCGGCGUGGUAAGUCAGAUGUGAAAUCCCGGGGCUCAACCCCGGAACUGCAUCCGAUACUGCCAUGCUAGAGGAUUGGAGAGGUAGCUGGAAUUCUUGGUGUAGCAGUGAAAUGCGUAGAUAUUGGGAAGAACACCGGUGGCGAAGGCGGCAACCUGGCUCAUUACUGACGCUGAGGCGCGAAAGCGUGGGGAGCAAACAGGAUUAGAUACCCGAGUAGUCCCUGUCUCUUAUAC